ACACCCAUUUCGACCUUCCAAACCCUUCUUCGUUCGAUCGGCUUCUUGGUCGCUUCUUUGUCAUUUAUGCUACACGGGUUGAAAUCAAAAAUUUUAUUGCGCCCAUUGUCGAUGCUAGCGGAAAUCAAGAGCACAACAAAUAUAGGAACGAAGUUUGAUCAAUCCCAAUGGAAAUUGAUAGAACAAACAAGACAUCAAAGGGUACUAUAAGAAGCACGAACAACCAUAAAUAAUUGCACAGGAAAAUGGCUUUGUAACCGAAAAAUAUGUUGUAAAUGGGCAUCAUCCAUAUUAGAACCGAGUUGAUUUUGAUCUCAUGCAACAAGAUACAGACCUAGAUAACAACAAAGAUUGUAAGUGAAUUGUGGUAUGAGGUAUGUUAUCCAAAUUAAGACCCUAUUUACCUUUGUGUAUAGAAAAAACACUGAUGCUUCCUAAGACGUUUGUUUAUAUCUGUUUGUACCUGCUAGUAUGGAUGGGUGUUGGUUUUGAGUAUAAUGCUUGUUGUGCAACAAGUUCAGGGAUGAAUGUGCAUUUUGAAAGUAGUAGUAUGCAACAACUUAUGAAGGGUAUUUGUAUGUUAUUUUUGUAAAUGAUGGGAGCUAUUUUUUGUAAAUGUAGGGUAAUGUCUGAAUUGUGUUUUGGCUAAGCAAUUAAAUUUUAAAAUAUAGCAUGUGGAU